UACGGAGGGUGCAAGCGUUAUCCGGAUUCACUGGGUUUAAAGGGUGUGUAGGCGGGCUGUUAAGUCAGUGGUGAAAUCUCAAGGCUCAACCUUGAAACUGCCAUUGAUACUAUCAGUCUUGAAUCUUGUUGAGGUAGGCGGAAUAUGUCAUGUAGCGGUGAAAUGCUUAGAUAUGACAUAGAACACCGAUUGCGAAGGCAGCUUACUAAGCAAGCAUUGACGCUGAGGCACGAAAGCGUGGGGAUCAAACAGGAUUAGAAACCCCCGUAGUCC
rnacentral:rRNA from 1 species